UUGUCACACUCCUACGGGAGGCAGCAGUGGGGAAUAUUGCACAAUGGGGGAAACCCUGAUGCAGCCAUGCCGCGUGUGUGAAGAAGGCCUUCGGGUUGUAAAGCACUUUCAGUAGGGAGGAAGGUAGUGUAGUUAACACCUGCAUUAUUUGACGUUACCUACAGAAGAAGCACCGGCUAACUCCGUGCCAGCAGCCGCGGUAAUACGGAGGGUGCGAGCGUUAAUCGGAAUUACUGGGCGUAAAGCGCAUGCAGGCGGCCUGUUAAGUCAGAUGUGAAAGCCCCGGGGCUUAACCUCGGAAUUGCAUUUGAAACUGGCAGGCUAGAGUCUUGUAGAGGGGGUAGAAUUUCAGGUGUAGCGGUGAAAUGCGUAGAGAUCUGAAGGAAUAUCAGUGGCGAAGGCGGCCCCCUGGACAAAGACUGACGCUCAGAUGCGAAAGCGUGGGGAGCAAACAGGAUUAGAUACCCUGGUAG
rnacentral:rRNA from 1 species